AGCUGGUGAAAAUUGCGGAAACAGUAGAUAUUGUCCAAAUCUACACCAUUGCUGCAGCGACCUCACCACUUGUUGUCCAAACGGCUACGUCUGUGCUGGUGCACUCUGCAUCAGCAUUGUAGCUAUUGCCAUUCCUUGCGUCGUCAUCGUCCUGAACAUCAUCAUUGCAAUUGUUGUUAUUCUCGUCAAAAGAAUUAUUUUUACACAGAGCGGUCGUAACCACAUCGAUCCAGCACCCAGCGUCCAUUAUCCCACCCCCGGGCCAGAACAAAGGGCAGUCUGUCUGCUAAGAUCCAGAGGGGAAACUCUCCACCUAUUUACCGCCAUAGACAUUCGUAUAUGAUUAUCUUCACUGAGGAAAGCAAAUAACUUAUGUUCAUUUCAACAUGAGUUAUAUACAUGUUUAUAACUUUAAAUUGCUGUUUAUGUUUUUAGUUUGUUAAUUUAAUCAUUACAUAUUAUAC